CCCUUAGAUGUUCUGGGCAGCACGCGCGCUACACUGAUGCAUUCAACGAGCCUAUCCUUGACCGACAGGUCCGGGUAAUCUUUGAAUCUGCAUCGUGACGGGGAUAGAUUAUUGCAAUUAUUAAUCUUCAACGAGGAAUGCCUAGUAGGCGCAAGUCAUCAGCUUGCGUCGAUUACGUCCCUGCCCUUUGUACACACCGCCCGUCGCUCCUACCGAUUGGGUGUGCUGGUGAAAUGUUCGGAUCGGCCGUUUGUCGCGGUUUCCGCGGCUCGUGGCUGAGAAGUUCAUUAAACCCUCCCACCUAGAGGAAGGAGAAGUCGUAACA
rnacentral:rRNA from 1 species